UAGAAGUGAGUGUGUGUGGUUUUUGUCUUUAUUUUUAUUUUCUUUUCUUACUUGGUCCCCAAGGUGUUCUAGAUUUUCUUAGCCCCCAAGGUCUUCUAGAAAUACUUGGCCCCCAAGUUCUUUUAAAUUAGAUUGGUCUCCAAGUUUCCUUUAUUGCUAAGUUUAUGGGGUGCCUAUAUAUAUUGGUUGUGUUGGCUCAUUUUUGCGUGUGAAGUUUUCCAUUUCUCCACAAGCUUUCAAGUUGUUCUCUCUUCUCAAGUUUUGCCUCCCAUCUUGAAUUUUCUUCAUUGAGAGCAAGCCCGUCUUGAGUUCUGCUAGCUCCGGUUGUUCGUGACUGCCGUUCACCGGAGAGGUCGUUUCAUCCUGCUGAGACAGUCGUCGUAGUCUGCUUGCCGCCGGUGCAUGGCGCUAACUGUCUUCAGGACAGCGCAAAACGCGACUCGACCUACUUCUGUUCCUGCCUCUUCCACGAUCCAGAAGUUUGUUCCUGAUUUCUUGUCGUUCCAGCUGGGAGCAGUGCUGUUCAACCAUCUUCUCUUAUUUGUUGUUUUAGUCUGGUAACCUCUGUUGUUGUUCAUUUAAUUAUAAGCUCUUGUUACCGUAAAUAUCAGUUGUUAUAAUAAUGGUCAAGUAUAUAGUAUAUGUUUCUUGUAUCGUAGUCGGUUAGAACUACUUUCUUGUAUCAAGCAAGUUAUUUUUGUAUUACAUACGCAUCUAUACUCUCUAUAUUCCUAACAUUAAUUACAUACGCACAAAGGGUAGUGUUGGGUUGGGUUGCAAAAUUGUAUCAAUUCGUUGGUCAGGUAAGAAAAUCCAUUCUGAUGACUCAAAAUAUAACCAUUAUGUUAUUCUAAUAACGCUUUUUGCAUAAAAAUUUUACAAUUUUUUUUUUAUAUGCUUGCUUAUUAGAAUUCGUGAGCUAUUAUAGGUGUCAAGAAAAUUUUAUCUAACAAACACUAAAAGAAGUACUUACUUAUAGAAUUCUAUCAUUAAAAAAUUAUUUGUUGAUUUGUUAUUAUUAUUAUUAUAAAAAUAACACCGAAUUAGAACAAAGUCGCAAUUAAUAAUUUGAGAAAAAUAAUAAUAAUAAAAAAAUUAGAUACAGAUUUUACGUAAAAAACCCCCCAAUGAAAUCAAGAUAAAAAGCCUCAGAUAAGGAUAGGAGAAUUUACUACAGAAAAAUAAUAAGAGUUGUAACCUUCUCUCUAAAUUAUAAUGAGAUAAUAACAAUAAUCUUUUCUUGAAAAUAGGAGAAGACUUUCUGAUAUUUUUAACUCUAUUUUUCUCUCUGCAAGGGAUACUUAGGAUGCUCAACAGAUGAGCUAGGACAUGUUAAAAAAACGUGUUGGUGGUGCCGCAUUUCGACGAGUGCGAUUUUGUUCACCCUAAAAAACGAGGGUGAUGGUCACCCUCGUUAUUUUUAGACUUAAAGAUGACGGAGGGCAGGGCAGGCAAACAUUACCGCCCAAAAUUUUACCCCCCAGGUAGCCAAAUAUUACCGCCCCCCUUCCUUCCAUCUGGGUCUCUCUCUCUCUCACUCACUCUCCCGCUCCCCAACAAUAGCACCGGCGUCCUCACCAGCACACCACCGACGUCGGACCUCCGGGGUCCCCCCACUAGCGGCGUCUCUCUGUUCUCGCCCUUCUUCAGAACAUAAAGAUGGAGUAUGUAGUUGAUGUUAAAGACAGGGUACGUGGCAAAAUAAGCAACCGAUGUAGGAUACAAAUGAUUCAUGAUGUGUAUUACAGUUUAGAUGCCGAACACAAAGACCUUUUUACAAAAUCAUGCUUUGGACACUUAUUAAAUGUUGCAAACAUGAAAAUAGCUCUGCAAAUGGUUCACCAGUUGAUUCUUAGGUCGGUCAAGACCUCCAAACAGAAUGAAGUAUGGUUCAAAUUUGGGAACCAGCUUGCAAGAUUUGGGCUCGAAGAGUUCACUUUAGUUACAGGCCUUAAAGCUGGAGAAUUGGAAUUUGAGGAUGAGAGCUUAGGCCUACAAUGCCAUCUUUUGCAGAAUCACUUCAAGAAGAAUAAAGGAAAAAUAACGAGAAAACAAUUGUUGAGUGCGUUCCAAAAAUGUAGUGAUCAGCCUGACAAGUUCAAGCUGGGCCUUCUUUUAAUUUUGGCAUAUGUUUUGUUGGCCACUGAAGAGAAUACAAAUUUGAACUUGUGGUGGUUUUAUUUGGUUGAUGAUCUAGAUCGAUUCAACAACUACGCCAGGGGAAAGAGAUCGUAUAAAUAUACAAUUGCGAUAUUCAAAAGUGAUUUGGGGAAAAAGUUGAAGCAAUGUGGAAAAAAUGAUCGAUAUCCAUACAACUUUCACGGAUUUCCAUUUGCAAUCAUGAUUUGCGCAUUGGAAGCAAUUCCCGGUCUUGGGGAGGAGUUUGCUCACAAACUAGAAGGUGAUAGAAUUCCAAGAAUGUUGGGGUGGGAAUUUGAGCAGCUUAUGCGAGAGGGAGAAAAAGUUAACAGGGAAUGACCCCUCUUGAUGAUGUAGAAGAUUCCAGAGUGGAUAACAGCUUGAAUGAAGAUGGAGGAAAAGAGUCUAAGGAAGAUGCACCAUCUAUUUCCAUGCAUCAUCAGCCAUGCGAUCGACCAUCCUCUUCUCAUAAUAAUAAUGUAACUCAGGUUGAUAUACAAGAAAUGAAAGAACUUGAGAGGAGGCUACUACGUGUGAUAACAGAUCGAUUUGAUCAGUUAACAGGCUGAUGUGAUCGGAUGGAGACCAAAAUUGAUAGGUUACUCCAGUUGGUUGAAAAAGAUGGGUUUCAGUCAGAAAGAGGCAAUGUUCGUGAAGAUUACAAGGGCCAAGAGGAAGAACGUGUGUUUGAGGAUUUUGAACACAAUUUGGAUGAGCAAGUUCCUGUUGAGUUUGUGACGCCAAAUCAACCAAAGCAGCCUGCAGAAAGCUGCACUAAAUGUGAAGUGGGAGAAUGUUGUGCUGUUUUUGUUGAGGAUGAUAUGGAUGAUAAAUCACCUAAAGGAAGAGGGCAUAGGAGAAAGAGGAGAGCACGUGCAUUGUGUUCCCCAUUCACUAAUCCCUUAAGAGAAGGAAGUUGUUGAAUGUGAAGGUGUUUGAACCGUUUCGAGAAGUGGAUCUUGCAAAAGUCAGUGAUCUCACAAAGUGGUUGGAAAAAGCUUCACCAAGUGACGAUAUGCCAUUAGCAAUCUGUGACGUUCGGAGGAAUUUUUUUGAUGAUUUGCUUAAUGAGAACGGGUGGCUUAUUGAUGACCAUGUGGAUUCGGCAUUAUUUCAUAUAAGAGAGCGAGCAGUGAAGUAUGAAAAACUCUUUCGACAAGACUGUGCCAUUAUGGACUCUGGAUUUUGGCAAUUUGUGAAGAAGGCCUACCAUGAAAUGGGGAAUCCUGGCAGGAAAAAUUUGGAGUAUGAAUUUGGCAAAGAGUUGGUUAAUUACGUCAAAGGGGUAAUUCCUAGUCUAGGAAAACCUUGGAGUAUUUGUCGUCAUCUUUAUCUUCCAUAUUGUAUCCCGAGAUCACAUUGGUUUGCAAUCGAGGUCGACCUGCAAGAGCGACAAAUCAACAUCUUGGAUAGCUUACCGAGUAGUGUACAUGAUGCCCAGCUUAGCAAUUACAUGAAGCCCGUACGGAUGGUCAUACCAUGGCUUAUGAAACUACACGUAAAUGAGAACUACAACACAUCAAUGCUAAAGUAUAAAAGGGUCAGACCACUUCCUGAACAAAACAAUGGAUCUGAUUGUGGGCUUUUUACAGUGAAGUUCAUCGAAUUUUCGUUAGCAGGACUAGAUCUGAGUCUUGUUUAGGCUGAACAUAUGAUGAUGUGGAGGGUAAAAAUGGCAGCUGAAAUUUUUGCAUGGCAUUUUGACCCUUAGCUCAGAUAGUAUGGUUGAAUUUCUUUUGUAAAAUUGCUUCUAUCAUUGCUAAUGUAAAAUUUGUCACAUUGCUAGCCUUUUUUUGCCAUAACUUAGCUGUUUUAUGGGCAAUUUUGUGGACAUAUUUUUGGCACUUUGUUACAUAUUUAUUUUGUAAAAAGCGAGAAGUAAGCUAUAUAUAUGACAAUAAUGGCACAUAAGUCAUUCU